rnacentral:rRNA from 1 species
UGGGGAAUCUUGGACAAUGGGCGCAAGCCUGAUCCAGCCAUGCCGCGUGAGUGAUGAGGGCCCUAGGGUUGUAAAACUCUUUCGUGGGGGACGAUAAUGACGGUACCCCAAGAAGAAGCUCCGGCUAACUUCGUGCCAGCAGCCGCGGUAAUACGAAGGGGGCUAGCGUUGUUCGGAUUUACUGGGCGUAAAGCGCGUGUAGGCGGGUCGUUAAGUUGGGGGUGAAAUCCCGGAGCUCAACUCCGGAACUGCCUUCAAAACUGGCGACCUGGACUCAAGCAGAGGCAAGUGGAAUUGCGAGUGUAGAGGUGAAAUUCGUAGAUAUUCGCAGGAACACCAGUGGCGAAGGCGACUUGCUGGGCUUGUAGUGACGCUGAGACGCGAAAGCGUGGGGAGCAAA